GGCCUAACACAUGCAAGCCGAGCGGUAGAGAUUCUUCGGAAUCUUGAGAGCGGCGCACGGGUGCGGAACACGUGUGCAACCUGCCUUUAUCAGGGGCAUAGCCUUUCGAAAGGAAGAUUAAUGCCCCAUAAUAUAUCAUAUGGCAUCAUUUGAUAUUGAAAACUCCGGUGGAUAAAGAUGGGCACGCGCAGGAUUAGAUAGUUGGUAGGGUAACGGCCUACCAAGUCAGCGAUCCUUAGGGGGCCUGAGAGGGUGAUCCCCCACACUGGUACUGAGACACGGACCAGACUCCUACGGGAGGCAGCAGUGAGGAAUAUUGGACAAUGGGUGAGAGCCUGAUCCAGCCAUCCCGCGUGAAGGACGACGGCCCUAUGGGUUGUAAACUUCUUUUGUAUAGGGAUAAACCUACCCUCGUGAGGGUAGCUGAAGGUACUAUACGAAUAAGCACCGGCUAACUCCGUGCCAGCAGCCGCGGUAAUACGGAGGGUGCAAGCGUUAUCCGGAUUUAUUGGGUUUAAAGGGUCCGUAGGCUGAUGUGUAAGUCAGUGGUGAAAUCUCACAGCUUAACUGUGAAACUGCCAUUGAUACUGCAUGUCUUGAGUGUUGUUGAAGUAGCUGGAAUAAGUAGUGUAGCGGUGAAAUGCAUAGAUAUUACUUAGAACACCAAUUGCGAAGGCAGGUUACUAAGCAACAACUGACGCUGAUGGACGAAAGCGUGGGGAGCGAACAGGAUUAGAUACCCUGGUAGUCCACGCCGUAAACGAUGCUAACUCGUUUUUGGGCUUUUGGGUUCAGAGACUAA
rnacentral:rRNA from 1 species